UACGAGUGCCCCAAGCGUUGUCCGGAAUCACUGGGCGUAAAGGGUGCGUAGGUGGUUGGAUUAGUCAGGGCUUAAAUCCUGGGGCUUAACCCUAGGGCUGGCUCUGAAACGGUCCGACUAGAGGUUGUCAGAGGUAAGCGGAACUCAUAGUGUAGGGGUGAAAUCCGUUGAUAUUAUGGGGAACACCAAAAGCGAAGGCAGCUUACUGGGACACACCUGACACUGAGGCACGAAAGCGUGGGUAGCGAAUGGG
rnacentral:misc_RNA from 1 species